rnacentral:rRNA from 1 species
GACGAACGCUGGCGGCGCGCUUAACACAUGCAAGUCGAGCGAAGCGGCGGACGGGUGAGUAACACGUGAGUAACCUGCCUUAGACAUUGGGAUAGCCUCGGGAAACCGGGAUUAAUACCAAAUGGUCUAAGAUGGACUAGCGUCCCAUUAGAUAGUUGGUGAGGUAACGGCCCACCAAGGGGACGAUGGGUAGCCGGCCUGAGAGGGUGGACGGCCACAUUGGAACUGAGAAACGGUCCAAACUCUACGGGAGGCAGCAGGGGGGAAUAUUGCACAAUGGAGGGAACUCUGAUGCAGCGACGCCGCGUGAACGAAGAAGGCUUUCGAGUCGUAAAGUUCUUUUACAUGGGAAGCGGUACCAUAAGAAAAAGCCCCGGCUAACUACGUGCCAGCAGCCGCGGUAAUAC